AGAACAGAACAGGAGUGUGGGAGGGAAGGAGGAAGGAGGGGAUGGAAGGAGGGGAAGGAGGAGGAAGCUUCAUAGUUUGGUGCGCCUGCCCGGCAGAUCAAAGAGGGGGAGCACACAGGACUUCCCUUUUGAACAGUGCUUCUGCCCCCUUUCCUUUUGGCUCCUUCCCCUCUGGACUGCGGAUGGCUGGGCAAGUGGGCAGGGCAGGGCAGGGGCAGGCGCCCAGGUACCCGGCCAGCUGGGCUCCCGCCCGGCUCCAUAACAGGCCUGGCACGCUCCCUCGGGCCGUUACCCAGCAUGCCCUUCUCCUUGUCGGGGAGGCCUCGCCCUCUUGUUUUCCAAGUUUUAUAACAGUAUUGUUUGUUGUCCAGCAGAUUAAGUUCUUCGGAGGCUGGGGGGGUGGGGAGGGUGGAAGAGAGCAAAGAGGGAAAAGAGAGAAGGAGAGAAAACACAAAUAACCUUGUUUAGGGCCGGAAGAGUAAAUGAGUCCCUUUUGAACACCGAAUCCACCUGUCUGGGGGAAAAGACCAGUGGCCAGCAGCCUGUGUUCUUGUCCCUGAGCCUUCGCCCAUCUUCUCCCUUCACCUAGCAGGGUUACAUGCACACUUAGACUUCCAAAGACACCACUCAGGGCUCAGGCUGAAAAGAAGGAACAGUCAAUAAGGCCUGAGGUGUGACACACCUGGACGGCCCUCCAAACAAGAUGUGGGCAAGGUGGGGCCAAGCUGGCCCCAGGGAGGACAGCCUGGGUCCCCACCUCCUCAGCUAUCCAUUCUCCCAGGCCAGGACUCAGGAGGGCGAUGUAAUCAACGUCCCACAGCUGGUAGGGCUCCCUGCUGAGCCACAUUUCACCCAUACCAGUGACACUUGCAGAACUGGGCCACAAGAGAACGACAGAACUGCGUGGACAAACACAGCCGGUCCUUCCUGCCUGGCGUCUAACCCAGAGCUGAAUAUACCUAUGUUACAGGAGCUGCUUUUGUACCACGUAAGACUCCAUAGAAUGCCCCUCUGCUCCCAAGACCGUGGGUCCCAAGACAUCCUCUCGGCCUCCAGCCUUCUUCCUGCAAGCCACAUCUGGCCCUGCCCAUCCACACCACACUCCCACCACAGUGCCCAUCAGAGGUCACUAGACCGAGAGGAAUCAGCAGAGACUUCCCUUCCAGAGUCAUCUGUGAGGCCAACGAGCAGACCUGCAGCCAGUGUUUCUAGGGUCUGACUUCACGUUUCCAGCAGCCGGCACUUCCUGCUGUGCUCCACAGCCUCUGGCAUCAGGCAGCACACAUUAGGCAUUCAGGGAAGGCCUGGGCACCCUGGACACAGCUGCUGGACACCUCUCAGAGACCCCACGGUGAAGCUGCCGUGCUGACAAGCUAUGCACCACAGACCUUGCUAAUACCUCUGCGCACACACGUCCCUGCCGUCCAGAAGGGUCAGGAUGGCCAGAAGCGUCCCACAGUCAGUCCUGAAGCUUCCACAUGUGUUCCAGCGUUCAGAAACACUAGGAGAGAGCUCCCAGAAAUUAAAUAAUCUGGACAUUUUGAGGUUUCCCACCUCAAAUGCACAGAGAAGAAAUCAGAGGCCCUCAAAGGUCAAGUCCAUUUCCAAAGACCCUAGUCCUGCCCCAGCACCUGGGUCAAAUCCCACAGAAAUGGUAGCUGGACCACAGGACCUGGGUGCAGGUUCAAGCAGUCAGUCCUGCCUUGGUCAGAUUCACCGAUGACAGGGCUAAUGUCACCUCUCUGCACAAAGUUGUCCGAGAAUCAGCAAAUGUGAAAACAAAACUACACGGACAUGAACAGAUGAUUACCAAUCAAUUCCCUCCCAUGCUGCCACAGCCCUCACCCACAUCCCUGCACCACAGUGGGGGUGCAGAAUGCUCAAAGUUACAAAUUCCAGGUCCUCUGGCAUGGCACAUAGAAAAUGAUCUAGAGGAACAUCUCUGCUUCUGUGUGGCUGGAUGGGCAGCCCCAGGGCUUCCUACCCAUGAGAACUUGGAGGAGUGGGAACUCCUGGGAUGGAGGUUGCUGCAGAAGCCUGGCUGGAGUCCUGGUCACCCUGGGACCCUGGGCUUUCCAGCUUGUGCUUUAUUUGAGCUCUUUUUGAGACUGAUCUGACAUUAAAAUGGAACGGGUAACUCUGA